AAAAACCGAUUGUCAGACGUGUAUACCAAACACAGCUGAUUGAAUCGUCAAGACAUUGUUGGGAGCCGCCGGUAUUCUACUCCUACUAAUUUCGUUCAUAGUACACUAGAUGUUACUAGGUUAGUAGCAGUUUACCAUUGAGCACAGUAGAAACGAUUCGGUAUGAAAGGAUGUCGAAAAAAAUAGCGAAAUUAGUAAAAAUAACGAUCCACCGAUGCUCCCUUGCGGAGUAGGGUCUGUUAUUAU